rnacentral:rRNA from 1 species
AACGUAGGGGGCAAGCGUUAUCCGGAAUUACUGGGUGUAAAGGGUGUGUAGGCGGCAUAUUAAGCCAUAUGUGAAAUGCACAGGCUCAACCUGUGAACUGCAUAAGGAACUGAUAAGCUAGAGUACAGGAGAGGUAAGCGGAAUUCCUAGUGUAGCGGUGAAAUGCGUAGAUAUUAGGAGGAACACCAGUGGCGAAGGCGGCUUACUGGACUGAAACUGACGCUGAGACACGAAAGCGUGGGGAGCGAACAGG